CAGUCGCCGCGGUAAUACGAAGGGUGCAAGCGUUAAUCGGAAUUACUGGGCGUAAAGCGUGCGUAGGCGGUUUGUUAAGUCUGUUGUGAAAUCCCCGGGCUCAACCUGGGAAUGGCAAUGGAUACUGGCAAGCUAGAGUGUGUCAGAGGAUGGUGGAAUUCCCGGUGUAGCGGUGAAAUGCGUAGAGAUCGGGAGGAACAUCAGUGGCGAAGGCGGCCAUCUGGGACAACACUGACGCUGAGGCACGAAAGCGUGGGGGGCAAACAGGAUUAGAUACCCCAGUAGUCCCUGUCUCUUAUAC
rnacentral:rRNA from 1 species